rnacentral:lncRNA from 1 species
AAUAAAACUAUCAAAUUCACCAAGAGCCAGUGAAGCCCCUUGGGUGACAGCCAAUCAAUGACCCUUGCCAUCAACAACAAUGUCUUCCACUUGUACAAAGCAGCCCUCCAGUAUCCAUUCUUCCCUCUUCCAGAUAUUCUUCCUUUCACCAGCCUCAACAUUUAGAACCAAAUCACAUACAAAUCCUGAAAAUAAAACUGUAGUCAGACUCAUUACUAACUUUCCUAACUAACCUUUUUUUUUUAUAUCACAUUCUUCCUGGUACAUUCUCUUAUACCACAUUGGUCCUUUAGCUCCAACUCCACCCUUCCAGUAGAGUCCUCCCUUAAGCAAUCUGAAGGCA